CUCAGGGUGGAACUGUCAACAUUCACUCAACUAACUCCAAACUUUCUGGAUUCUUUUCUUCAUUCCACAAAGACAAGCCAUCAAUAAGUCACCAGGACUUUUUUUUUUACUUUGUUGAAGACAGAAAAUCAGCACUUAUCGCUCAACAAUUCUUAAAAAGAGUCAGCUAGAGCAGCUAAAGCGAAACUCUUCAAGAUGCAAGCCAUUCGUCAGUGUUCAGCUUGUGCAAAACGUGCUGCAGGAGGACUGGUACGAAACCAAGAGGUUUCCCUGCUGCAGAGGAGAGGUGCAGCCUGCAUCCGUUACCUCAGUACGACUGAUAAUAGAAUGGAGCACAGAAACCAGGAGAGCUGACAAACCCGACUCACAUCAGCAUGGCCUCAUUAAGUGUCGGCCAUGGGCUUUGGCAGGUUGAGGAUCUU